rnacentral:rRNA from 1 species
CCUACGGGAGGCAGCAGUGGGGAAUAUUGCACAAUGGGCGAAACCCUGAUCCAGCGACGCCGCGUGAGUGAAGAAGGCUUUAGGUAUGUAAAGCUCUUUCAGCCGGGAAGAAAAUGACGGUACCUGUCCCAUAAUCCCUGGCUAACUACGAGCAAGCAGCCGCGGUAAUACGUCGGGGGCCAGCGUUAUCCGGAUUUACUGGGGGUAAAGGGAGCUUAGUCGGUUAUGUAAGUGUGGAGGGAAAGCCCAGGGCCCAAACACGGGACUGCCGUGGAAACUGUGUAACUGGAGUACAGGAGUGGCAGGCGGAAUGCGGGGUGUAGCGGUGAAAUGCGUAGAUAUCAGGAGGAACACCGGCGGCGAAGGCGGC